GGAGGUGUGUGGCAGUGCACUGUGUGUGCCUGCCACUUUAAGGGCCUGGAGCUGGCAGCCUCCAGGUGCCUGAUUAGGGCAGCCAUUUUAGAGGCAAGGGCUGCUUAUAUAAGGAGGGCAGUUUGGCUGCUGGAGGCCAGGCAGCAACAUUGCCUGGCUGGAGUGCUGCUGAGAUCACCGGAGCUUCCUCCUGGUCAAGCCAACACUGAUGAAGUUUGCCGUACAGAAAUCUUGUCAAGUAUUUCUUACCAUGGAUACAAGUACAUAAUCAACAUGAACAGAAGAACAAAGGGCCAAAAACUAUAUAUGAUAACAUUUCUACAGGAGUGGAAGACUGAGUCAAUGAUAAAAAAUGUGUAAUUUAUAACAAAAGAUAUAGAGGCGUGAGAACAGUAUGGGUGUGCAUUUGGUCUUAAUCACAGGUGAGAGGGCAGCUCUGAUUCGAAACUAGAACUCCCCUUCCCCCAACUGCUUUAACUCAAGGGGACUUUUGCCAAGAAAAUAGCCUGAUGCUUCAAGAACAGCAGUGGAAUCAGUCACUUAAUUUUUUUAAGAAAUCCAAAAUUCUUCAAGAAAAAAAAAAAAGUCCCGCUUUGCUUUGCUCAACUGAAGAUUUCUUUGCUACAUCUGCCAUACUAAGCUGUAUCAUUCAUCACAGGUAUUUAAACCACCUCCCUAUCCCAGCAUUAAAAGAAGCUUCUGUACAUAACACUUGCAGAGAAUAAUUUUCAUUGGUGGUAGUAGUAUUACAAUACCAAGGAGCGCUCUCACGGGCCAGGACCUUACUGAGAUUAGAGUUCAAUCUUGGAAAAACAGGGCUUGAAGGAACCUAGGGAGAUCAUCUAAUCCAGCCCUCUCCUCAAGGCAGGAUCAUCCCUGACUAAACCAUCUUAAGUCAAGUAUUUUGUCCAACAAAUUGAGCAAAGAGAGAGCAAAAAGAUGGUCUUUACCUCACACCGCUUGCUAUCUAAAGCAAGUGAUGAAGCAAAGGAGUACAGAUAAACAAAAUAAAGUAAGAUAAUAUUAGUCAACAUGAUUGAUACUGGUGUCAGCACAUCAGCAGUCUAACUGUUGUCAAGUACAAUAUAGGCAUAAUGGUACUGGAGAGUCUUAUGGAAGGAUCAGAAGGAGAAUAGUAAAGUAGCUUUACAGCAACGUAUAGUGAACUCCUCCCCAGUCUAAGGGACAGCAUGGGAGAAACUGCAAUGGUGCUUAUUUGAAAAUGUAAUAACUUAAUGGAAGCUCUCAUCAUAGACUGAUUAGUGGCAGAGAUGCAAAGAGGGUGACAUGGAAAAUGAUGUGCAGCAGCAAUCUGAAUGAAUACAUGCAGGACAAGAGUGUAUUUAUUAAAGCCAGAGGGGAAAAAAAAUGCUGCACUGAGAAAUGAGAUUAUGAGAUCCUGUAUGAAAGUUUCAGGUACAUCAAAAAAAUAGAAAAGCCUUAAUCUUCUUAGAGAUGUUGGAAUGAAAAAAAAUAUAUGCAAGAGUCAGAUAUAGACUGGAGGCAGACUUAGAGAGACAUCCCUGUUGAUUAGGACACUCAGAUUAUGGACCUGGGUGAUAAACAGGAUGUUGCUGAAAUUUCCAUUUCCUCAUUGAGUUACCUAGCUGUCAGAGAGACAGACUGAGAUUUUAGUUUGGACAGAACAUAAGUGUGAAGUAAAAGAUCUACACAUUGGCUGCCCAGACAGCUGAAUUUGUAUUUCUCAGUGAGAUUACACAGGUUUGAAAUGCAGAGGGAGAGAAGGAAGAGAUGAAGAGCCCUAUGGAACCGUGACAAAAAAUUGGCAGGAGGGAGACGGGGAUCCUUCAAGGAACAUGCUGAUGGAACCAAAAAAACCCCCCAAAACAAAAGCCUGGAAGCCAAGAGAGGACAGGAUGCAGUUUCAAGAAGAAGAAUAUGAUUAAAUGUGCUGGAGUGAGCUGAUAGAUUAAUGACAAUGAGAAUGGAGGACUGGCUCUAAAACAAGAUGAUUAGAGUUUAAGUGGUUACAAUGAACACAACAGGACGCUGCUGGACUGACCAGUCACUGAGUCGGAACUGGGAAAGAGAGGAACACAUCAGUAUUUGUGAAUAGUGGGCGCAUAUACAUGAGACGCGGUUUACUGCAGAGCUGCCUUCCACUGUAAAGUCUCAAUGUCUAGACAUGCAUGGCUCUAUUAGGCCACACUUGUAAAUAAAAGUACUAUCCUGUG